rnacentral:rRNA from 1 species
CCAUCAGAAGGGGAUAACACUUGGAAACAGGUGCUAAUACCGUAUAACAAUCAAAACCGCAUGGUUUUGAUUUGAAAGGCGCUUUCGGGUGUCGCUGAUGGAUGGACCCGCGGUGCAUUAGCUAGUUGGUGAGGUAACGGCUCACCAAGGCCACGAUGCAUAGCCGACCUGAGAGGGUGAUCGGCCACAUUGGGACUGAGACACGGCCCAAACUCCUACGGGAGGCAGCAGUAGGGAAUCUUCGGCAAUGGACGAAAGUCUGACCGAGCAACGCCGCGUGAGUGAAGAAGGUUUUCGGAUCGUAAAACUCUGUUGUUAGAGAAGAACAAGGAUGAGAGUAACUGUUCAUCCCUUGACGGUAUCUAACCAGAAAGCCACGGCUAACUACGUGCCAGCAGCCGCGGUAAUACGUAGGUGGCAAGCGUUGUCCGGAUUUAUUGGGCGUAAAGCGAGCGCAGGCGGUUUCUUAAGUCUGAUGUGAAAGCCCCCGGCUCAACCGGGGAGGGUCAUUGGAAACUGGGAGACUUGAGUGCAGAAGAGGAGAGUGGAAUUCCAUGUGUAGCGGUGAAAUGCGUAGAUAUAUGGAGGAACACCAGUG